UGCAUCAUAGUUCAGAUAGUACAGCAUCGCGCCGAUAACGCGGAGGUCAUGGGUUCAAAUCUUGUUGAAGCCCUGAACGCAC